rnacentral:rRNA from 1 species
UUGAACGGGUGAGUAAUAUAUCGGAACGUACCCUAGAGUGGGGGAUAACGUAGCGAAAGUUACGCUAAUACCGCAUACGAUCUACGGAUGAAAGUGGGGGAUCGCAAGACCUCAUGCUCAUGGAGCGGCCGAUAUCUGAUUAGCUAGUUGGUGGGGUAAAAGCUCACCAAGGCGACGAUCAGUAGCUGGUCUGAGAGGACGACCAGCCACACUGGAACUGAGACACGGUCCAGACUCCUACGGGAGGCAGCAGUGGGGAAUUUUGGACAAUGGGCGCAAGCCUGAUCCAGCAAUGCCGCGUGAGUGAAGAAGGCCUUCGGGUUGUAAAGCUCUUUUGUCAGGGAAGAAACGGUUCGGGCUAAUAUCCUGGGCUAAGGACGGUACCUGAAGAAUAAGCACCGGCUAACUACGUGCCAGCAGCCGCGGUAAUACGUAGGGUGCAAGCGUUAAUCGGAAUUACUGGGCGUAAAGCGUGCGCAGGCGGUUGUGCAAGACAGAUGUGAAAUCCCCGGGCUCAACCUGGGAAUUGCAUUUGUGACUGCACGGCUAGAGUGUGUCAGAGGGGGGUAGAAUUCCACGUGUAGCAGUGAAAUGCGUAGAGAUGUGGAGGAAUACCGAUGGCGAAGGCAGCCCCCUGGGAUAACACUGACGCUCAUGCACGAAAGCGUGGGGAGCAAACAGGAUUAGAUACCCUGGUAGUCCACGCCCUAAACGAUGUCUACUAGUUGUCGGGUCUUAAUUGACUUGGUAACGCAGCUAACGCGUGAAGUAGACCGCCUGGGGAGUACGGUCGCAAGAUUAAAACUCAAAGGAAUUGACGGGGACCCGCACAAGCGGUGGAUGAUGUGGAUUAAUUCGAUGCAACGCAAAAAACCUUACCUACCCUUGACAUGUCUGGAAUCCUUGAGAGAUCAGGGAGUGCUCGAAAGAGAAUCAGAACACAGGUGCUGCAUGGCUGUCGUCAGCUCGUGUCGUGAGAUGUUGGGUUAAGUCCCGCAACGAGCGCAACCCUUGUCAUUAGUUGCUACGAAAGGGCACUCUAAUGAGACUGCCGGUGACAAACCGGAGGAAGGUGGGGAUGACGUCAAGUCCUCAUGGCCCUUAUGGGUGGGGCUUCACACGUCAUACUAUGGUACAUACAGAGGGCCGCCAACCCGCGAGGGGGAGCUAAUCCCAGAAAGUGUAUCGUAGUCCGGAUUGUAGUCUGCAACUCGACUACAUGAAGUUGGAAUCGCUAGUAAUCGCGGAUCAGCAUGUCGCGGUGAAUACGUUCCCGGGUCUUGUACACACCGCCCGUCACACCAUGGGAGCGGGUUUCACCAGAAGUGGGUAGCCUAACCGCAAGGAGGGCGCUCACCACGGUGGGAUUCGUGACUGGGGUGAAGUCGUAACAAGGUA